rnacentral:rRNA from 1 species
AGAAUUGAUCUGGUUCAGGACGAACGCUGGCGGCGUGCUUAACACAUGCAAGUCGAACGAGGAUAUGCCAGAGGAGAGCUUCGGCAGGAAUCAGGCAUAUUCGAGUGGCGGACGGGUGAGUAACGCGUGAGCAACCUGUCCCAGACAGGGGGAUAACACUUGGAAACAGGUGCUAAUACCGCAUAAGACCACGGUAUCACAUGGUAGUGGGGUAAAAGGAGCAAUCCGGUUUGGGGUGGGCUCGCGUCCGAUUAGAUAGUUGGUGAGGUAACGGCCCCACCAAGUCGACGAUCGGUAGCCGACCUGAGAGGGUGAUCGGCCACAUUGGAACUGAGAGACGGUCCAAACUCCUACGGGAGGCAGCAGUGGGGAAUAUUGGGCAAUGGGCGAAAGCCCUGACCCAGCAACGCCGCGUGAGUGAAGAAGGCCUUCGGGUUGUAAAGCUCUGUUAUAGUUGACGAAGGAAGUGACGGUAGGCUAUAAGGAAGCCCCGGCUAACUACGUGCCAGCCGCCGC